rnacentral:rRNA from 1 species
AGCGGUGCUGAUUGCUUCGGUGAUACAGUGCCGUGGAGAGUGGCGAACGGGUGAGUAACACGUAGGUAACCUGCCCUGAAAGGGGGGAUAACCACGGGAAACCGUGGCUAAUACCGCAUAAUCUCGCCGUGGCGGUGGUUACGGUGAGGAAAGCUGAGGCGAUUUGGGAGGGGCCUGCGGUCGAUUAGCUGGUUGGUGGGGUAAAGGCCUGCCAAGGCGAUGAUCGAUAGCUGUUCUGAGAGGAAGACCAGCCACACGGGAACUGAGACACGGUUCCGACUCCUACGGGGGGCAGCAGUGAGGAAUAUUGCGCAAUGGGGGGAACCCUGACGCAGCAACGCCGCGUGGAGGACGAAGGUUUUCGGAUUGUAAACUCCUUAACUGGGGGAAGAGAGAGGACGGUACCCCAGGACGAAGACACGGCUAACUAGGUGCCAGCAGCCGCGGUAAUACCUAGGUGUCGAGCGUUAUCCGGAAUUACUGGGCGUAAAGGGUGCGCAGGCGGCGCUACAAGUCCGGCGUGAAAGCUUCUGGCUUAACUGGGAGAGGACGUCGGAAACUGUAAGGCUAGAGUGAAUGAGAGGGGGGCGGAAAUCCCGGUGUAGUGGUGGAAUGCGUAGAUAUCGGGAAGAACACCAGAGGCGAAGGCGGCCUCCUGGCAUUUUACUGACGCUGAGGCACGAAAGCGUGGGUAGCGAACGGGAUUAGAUACCCCGGUAGUCCACGCUGUAAACGAUGUGAACGAGGUGUGGGCGGUGUAGAAGCCGUCUGUGCCGGAGCAAACGCGAUAAGUUCACCGCCUGGGGAGUACGGUCGCAAGGCUAAAACUCA